GCCGGUGUGGCUCAGUGGAUAGAGCGUCAGCCUGAGGACUGAAGGGCACUGGGUUCAAUUCCUGGUCAGGGCA
rnacentral:tRNA from 1 species